CACUCAGCCUACUUGAGGAUCUUGAAUGC
rnacentral:piRNA from 1 species